rnacentral:rRNA from 1 species
GGGCUCACACAAGCGGUGGAGGAUGUGGCUUAAUUCGAGGCUACGCGAAGAACCUUAUCCUAGAUUUGACAUGCUUGAGAAUUCCUUCGAAAGAAGGAAGUGCCCCUCGGGGAGCUUUUGCACAGGUGCUGCAUGGCUGUCGUCAGCUCGUGUCGUGAGAUGUCGGGUUAAGUCCCUUAACGAGCGAAACCCUUAUCUCUAGUUGCCAGCGGGUAAUGCCGGGGACUCUAGAGAGACUGCCGGUGUCAAACCGGAGGAAGGUGGGGAUGACGUCAAGUCCUCAUGGCCUUUAUGUCUAGGGCUGCACACGUCCUACAAUGGCAUCUACAGUGAGUUAAUCUCCAAAAGAUGUCUCAGUUCGGAUUGGGGUCUGCAACUCGACCCCAUGAAGUUGGAAUCGCUAGUAA